GGACUACAGGGGUUUCUAAUCCUGUUUGCUACCCAAGCCUUCGUCCCUCAACGUCAGUUUUUAGAUAAAAGGUUGCUUUAGCCGCUGCCAGUCGUCAUGGUAUCAACAAAUUUUAUCUCUACUCCAUGAAUACUCCCCUUCUCAUAUAAAACUCUAGUAAUAUCGUACCCUAUUUUGGGCUAAUAAUACUAUCUAGGUACCCUUUAAACCUAAUAAAGAUGAAUAACACUAGUCUUUUACGUAUUACCGCGGCGGCUGGCAC
rnacentral:rRNA from 1 species